rnacentral:rRNA from 1 species
UUAGCGUAUAUUAAAGUUGUUGCGGUUAAAAAGCUCGUAGUUGGAUCUCUGUGCUGACGAGGGCGACGUGCGCGAGCGCGUAACGCCUGAUCGCGGCACACACACAUAGCCGACGUCCGGGUGUGCGGUACCCUUAACCGGGCGCCCGCCCCGGUGCGGCACGUUUACUUUGAAAAAAUGAGAGUGCUCAAAGCAGGGCGAGAACGCCCAUUGAAUAAUCUUGCAUGGAAUAAUGGAAUAGGACCGCGGUCUCAAUUCUGUUGGUCUUACAGACCUGAGGUAAUGAUUAAGAGGGACAGACGGGGGCAUUCGUAUUGCGGCGCUAGAGGUGAAAUUCUUGGACCGUCGCAAGACGAA